rnacentral:rRNA from 1 species
AGCAGCCGCGGUAAUUCCAGCUCCAAUAGCGUAUAUUAAAGUUGUUGCAGUUAAAAAGCUCGUAGUUGAAUUUCGGGAUUUGCACAUCGGUCGUGCCUUAAGGGGUAUGAACUGGUGUAGUGAAUUUCUCACCUUCUGGAGAACCGUGAUGUCCUUAAUUGGGUGCCACGAGGAACCAGGACCUUUACUUUGAAAAAAUUAGAGUGUUUAAAGCAGGCAUUUUUGCUUGAAUACAUUAGCAUGGAAUAAUAAAAUAGGACGGCAUGAUUCUAUUUUGUUGGUUUUCUAGGAUCACCGUAAUGAUUAAUAGGGAUAGUUGGGGGCAUUAGUAUUCAAUUGUCAGAGGUGAAAUUCUUGGAUUUAUUGAAGCUAACUACUGCGAAAGCAUUUGCCAAGGUAUUUUC